rnacentral:rRNA from 1 species
AUUGAACGCUGGCGGCAGGCCUAACACAUGCAAGUCGAGCGGAUGAAGGGAGCUUGCUCCUGGAUUCAGCGGCGGACGGGUGAGUAAUGCCUAGGAAUCUGCCUGGUAGUGGGGGAUAACGUCCGGAAACGGGCGCUAAUACCGCAUACGUCCUGAGGGAGGAAGUGGGGGAUCUUCGGACCUCACGCUAUCAGAUGAGCCUAGGUCGGAUUAGCUAGUUGGUGGGGUAAAGGCCUACCAAGGCGACGAUCCGUAACUGGUCUGAGAGGAUGAUCAGUCACACUGGAACUGAGACACGGUCCAGACUCCUACGGGAGGCAGCAGUGGGGAAUAUUGGACAAUGGGCGAAAGCCUGAUCCAGCCAUGCCGCGUGUGUGAAGAAGGUCUUCGGAUUGUAAAGCACUUUAAGUUGGGAGGAAGUGCAGUAAGUUAAUACCUUGCUGUUUUGACGGUACCAACAGAAUAAGCACCGGCUAACUUCGUG